rnacentral:rRNA from 1 species
UACAGAGGGUGCAAGCGUUAAUCGGAAUUACUGGGCGUAAAGCGCGCGUAGGUGGUUUGUUAAGUUGGAUGUGAAAGCCCCGGGCUCAACCUGGGAACUGCAUCCAAAACUGGCAAGCUAGAGUACGGUAGAGGGUGGUGGAAUUUCCUGUGUAGCGGUGAAAUGCGUAGAUAUAGGAAGGAACACCAGUGGCGAAGGCGACCACCUGGACUGAUACUGACACUGAGGUGCGAAAGCGUGGGGAGCAAACAGGAUUAGAUACCCCCGUAGUCCC